rnacentral:rRNA from 1 species
UACGUAGGGCGCAAGCGUUUGUCCGGAAUUAUUGGGCGUAAAGAGCUCGUAGGCGGCUUGUUGCGUCAGCUGUGAAAACCCGCAGCUCAACCGCGGGCCUGCAGUCGAUACGGGCAGGCUAGAGUGUGGUAGGGGAGAUCGGAAUUCCCGGUGUAGUGGUGGAAUGCGUAGAUAUCGGGAGGAACACCAGUGGCGAAGGCGGCUCUCUGGACCUCUGCUGACGCUGAGGCGCGAAAGCGUGGGGAGCGAUCCGG